UUAUUAUGUUUAUUACUUUAGAAGGUGAGAAGAUUUAGAAUAGAGUGGCUUCCUGUUAAAGAUAUUAAAGAUUCUUCAGAUGAAAUAUACAUAUGGAGAUAUGAAGUGCCACAGCGUUACACAUGGGUAAUAGGACUCAUUUUAUUAUUAGGAGUAAUUGGAUUUACACUCCAGCCACUAUGGCCUGACUCUUCUAAGUUGGGAAUGUGGUUCCUUAGUGUGAUCAUGAUGAUACUGCUUGGCAUAUUAUUAGCACUGUACAUAGUUCGCUGGUUUCUUUAUGCUUUAGUCUUAACAUUUACAAGUGGUAAAGUAGUCUUUUGGCUCCUUCCUAAUCUCGAUGAUGAUAAGAUGGGUGUCAUUGACUCUUUCAAGCCGUUUUAUUCUGUCAAAUAUAAAAA